UUGCUGUUUAUCUUUUUAUUUAGUUCUUUAAUGUUGCAUCACAUUCGUUCCAUCAUAUUUACUAAAAAUUUUGACAUAUCAGUAUUUUAAUUGGCUAGAGUUUCUCUGCAUUAUUUGAUUAUCCAACUAAAACAGGCCAUAUGUUCAUCAAGCUACCGGCUUUAUUCGCUUUGUUUUCCUUAGUGGCUAAAGGUGCUUCGUUUAGGAUUAACCCUCCUUGUGUUAUCUCAUAUUCUGCGAACUUCAGCUUCCAAGUAAAUAAUGUGCCAUUGCUGUCAUUGAUUUCGUUGCCUGUUCCUGUUUAUGGUGCUGUGGCUUACAAGUGGCGCAAUACAGGGAACAAGGACAGAACAAAGCAGGUCUCUCUGCAAUAGCUUACUACAACAAAGUCACAAACUUUAGAAAUCAUCACAUCAAGCAACUCAACUGGAUAUACGCAAAACGCAUUCCAUCUUUAUGUGCAAGCGUCAUCCUUCAAGUGGGCUAUGGGCCGGGACCCCUCUUCAUUAGAGAAGAUAUUGGUGGCGAAGAAAACUUCAUUUACCCCCUAGUGUUAAACCGAGAACUCUCUAGAGUCACACGAGGCCAAUUGAGGUCAUAUUUGACUUACGAGUGGUUUAAAAUCAGCGUGAUUUGUACCGAGCAGUCUUGGUUAUGCGAAGAGGUUGAGCCAACGAUAGAAAACGAUGAUUUAGAGUUUCAUUUUGACCAAUACGAAAGUACCCGCAAUCAAUUCAGACGCUUAUAAACAAGAAAUUAAACUUCGAA